CGUCAGGGUGUCCGCCGUUUGGCGGGUGAAAAGGGAAUCCGGUGUGAAUCCGGAGCGAUGCAGUCACUGUGUACGGAGCGCUCUUGCAGAACCACUGGGAAACCGGGAAGGGCAAGAUCGCGAAGACCGAAGUCAGGAGACCUGCCCUGGCGU
rnacentral:ncRNA from 1 species